rfam:Candidatus Roizmanbacteria bacterium RIFCSPLOWO2_02_FTLL_41_9 rifcsplowo2_02_scaffold_22852, whole genome shotgun sequence.
GGAGAGGUGGCUGAGCGGUCCAUAGCGAGGGGUUGCUAACCCCUUGAGUAGCAAUACUCACGCGGGUUCAAAUCCCGCCCUCUCCG